AUACGUAGGGUGCGAGCGUUGUCCGGAAUUAUUGGGCGUAAAGAGCUCGUAGGCGGUCUGUCGCGUCGGUUGUGAAAGCCCGGGGCUUAACCCCGGGUCUGCAGUCGAUACGGGCAGGCUGGAGUUCGGCAGGGGAGACUGGAAUUCCUGGUGUAGCGGUGAAAUGCGCAGAUAUCAGGAGGAACACCGGUGGCGAAGGCGGGUCUCUGGGCCGAUACUGACGCUGAGGAGCGAAAGCGUGGGGAGCGAACAGGA
rnacentral:rRNA from 1 species